rnacentral:rRNA from 1 species
UACGUAGGGUGCAAGCGUUAAUCGGAAUUACUGGGCGUAAAGCGUGCGCAGGCGGUGAUGUAAGACAGAUGUGAAAUCCCCGGGCUCAACCUGGGAACUGCAUUUGUGACUGCAUCGCUGGAGUACGGCAGAGGGGGAUGGAAUUCCGCGUGUAGCAGUGAAAUGCGUAGAGAUGCGGAGGAACACCGAUGGCGAAGGCAGCCCCCUGGGCUAGCACUGACGCUCAGGCACGAAAGCGUGGGGAGCAAACAGG